rnacentral:rRNA from 1 species
UACAGAGGGGGCAAGCGUUUGUUCGGAAUUACUGGGCGUAAAGGGCGCGUAGGCGGCCUUCUAAGUCGAACGUGAAAUCCCUGGGCUCAACCCAGGAACUGCGUCCGAUACUGCAAGGCUUGAAUCUGGCAGAGGGGGGGUAGAAUUCCACGUGUAGCAGUGAAAUGCGUAGAGAUCAGGAGGAACACCCAUGGCGAAGGCAGCUCUCUGGUCGACCUCUGACGCUGAGACGCGAAAGCGUGGGUAGCAAACAGG